UACGGAGAGUGCAAGCGUUGUUCGGAAUUAUUGGGCGUAAAGCGCGUGUAGGCGGUCCAACAAGUCUGGCGUGAAAGCCUUGAGCUCAACUCAAGAAGUGCGCUGGAAACUGUCGGACUUGAGUACCGGAGGGGAAGGUGGAAUUCUCGAGUGUAGAGGUGAAAUUCGUAGAUAUUCGGAAGAACAUCAGUGGCGAAGGCGACCUUCUGGACGGAUACUGACGCUGAGACGCGAAAGCGUGGGUAGCAAACAGG
rnacentral:rRNA from 1 species